rnacentral:rRNA from 1 species
UACCUGCAGCCCAAGUGGUGAUCGCUAUUAUUGGGCCUAAAACGUCCGUAGCCGGUUCUAUAAAUGCCUGGGUAAAUCGUACGGCUUAACCGUACGAAUUCCGGGUAGACUGUUCAACUUGGGACCGGGAUAGGCUAGAGGUACUCCUGGGGUAGAGGUGAAAUUCUGUAAUCCUAGGGGGACCACCAGUGGCGAAGGCGUCUAGCUAGAACGGGUCUGACGGUGAGGGACGAAGCCUUGGGGAGCAAACGGGAUUAGAUACCCCGGUAGUCCAGGGUGUAAACGCUGCUCGCUUGAUGUUAGUCGGGCUCCGAGCCCAACUAGUGUCGGAGAGAAGUUGUUAAGCAAGCUGCCUGGGAAGUACGGCCGCAAGACUGAAACUUAAAGGAAUUGGCGGGGGAGCACAGCAACGGGUGGAGCGUGCGGUUU